GGAGAAGUAUUCUAAGUUUAAGAUAGUGGGCUCAUGACCCAAAAAUGGUUUCACGCCCUUCUCUA
rnacentral:tRNA from 1 species